rnacentral:rRNA from 1 species
AGUGAACGCUGGCGGUAGGCCUAACACAUGCAAGUCGAACGGCAGCACAGUAAGAGCUUGCUCUUACGGGUGGCGAGUGGCGGACGGGUGAGGAAUACAUCGGAAUCUACUUUUUCGUGGGGGAUAACGUAGGGAAACUUACGCUAAUACCGCAUACGACCUACGGGUGAAAGCAGGGGAUCUUCGGACCUUGCGCGAUUGAAUGAGCCGAUGUCGGAUUAGCUAGUUGGCGGGGUAAAGGCCCACCAAGGCGACGAUCCGUAGCUGGUCUGAGAGGAUGAUCAGCCACACUGGAACUGAGACACGGUCCAGACUCCUACGGGAGGCAGCAGUGGGGAAUAUUGGACAAUGGGCGCAAGCCUGAUCCAGCCAUACCGCGUGGGUGAAGAAGGCCUUCGGGUUGUAAAGCCCUUUUGUUGGGUAAGAAAAGCAGCAGGUUAAUACCCCGCUGUUCUGACGGUACCCAAAGAAUAAGCACCGGCUAACUUCGU